UUAGCAACAAAAAGAAUGGGCAGCCUCGCCUCUUCUUCAACAACAAAAAAUUCCUAAUUCCUAAGGCUAAGAGCUGGACAGCUGCAUUUUCCAAAAAAUCUCUCUCACACACACGUGGAAGAAGAAACAGAGGCGAAAGAACGAGUAGCUGCUGGUCAUUUUUGAGGUUGCCGGCGAGGUCCCUUCCAUGGGCGAUGGCAAAUUCUUCGGUCGAAAGUUCCAUAAUCUUCAAGUUGGUGUAAUUUUAAUUCAAAUUCAUCUAUAAAGGUACCAUUCACUCCUUCUGUCAUCAUAUUCCUUUGGUUAUGUUGGUUCCUAAGACUGUAACUUUUCACUCUUUGUUGCUCUAUUGAAUUCUGUUGGAUCUUUGUCCUUUUCUUACUUUUAUGGGAUUUUACGAGGUUGGUAUUCAUUUUUGGUUACUUUUUAUGCCCUGUUUGGUUGUUCUUGAAUUGUUUGGUGAUUGUCACUUGUCAGUUUAAAGAGUCAUGGUGGUUAAAAUUCUGAAAAGCAAGAAUUGAAAAUUGUCAUAUGGGUCGUCUUACUUUUUCCUCACAUUUAUAUGUUUUGUCGUUUUACUUGAAGAUUUUUUGGAAGAAAGUGAUUUGUUUGGGAAGGAUUUUUUUAGUAUGGAAGUUUUGUAGGCUUGGAUUUAUGCUUGUGUAGCUUGUCUUCCCCUUGUUGAUUCAACCUAAAAUACCAGAUUUCUUGUGCAGUUUUGAAAGCUCAUCGGUUAUUUACUCGCAUGCUACUCGAAUUGGUUAUAGCUGAAUAUGAUUUUGUCACAGUAUAGAAAUUGGGUUGCUAUUCAUCAACUAAACUACGUCAAAUUAGAUUAAAGGGACUUGGGUGUACAUUUCAUGUGACCCUGCCAUAAUUUUGAUUAAUAAUAAUAAAAUAAGCACGUUAUAAAUCACGGGUGCAUUUCAUGUAACGCGGUUUGCAAUGCAUACCAAAACGACAAGUGUACGACAUCGUGCCUUGUUCCAAAAAAUAAUUCCAUAAAUAUUAAAGGCGGCUAAUAAGUUAAAAAUGUACCAUAGGCUAAAACAUGUAUUAAAAUCAGAUAAUAGGCCAAUUAUGAUAGUUUAAGCGAUCGUGCUAGAACCACGGAACUCGGGAAUGCCUAACACCUUUUCCCAGGUUAACAGAAUUCCUUACCCGGAUUUCUGGUUCGCGGACUGUGAUACAGAGUCAUUCUUUCCUCGAUUCGGGAUUUGAACCGGUGACUUGGGACACCAUAAAUGUUCCCAAGUGGCAACUCUAAAUUUUAAUAAAAUAAUCCCGUUUUGAUUGUUACUUUAAGUUGGAAAAGUACUCCCUUGUACCACCCUCUCGGGAUGUAAGUGAAAAAGGAGGUGUGACAGCUCUGGCGACUCUGCUGGGAAUCGAACCUAGAAUCUCUGGUUCAGGGUUCAAGAAUUCGAGCUUAGAAUAGUUGUUAUAGUUGGCUUUAUCCAUUAUCUGAAUUUGUUACAUGAUUUGAGCCUAAUGUGCUAAUUGAUUGCUUUUACCGCUUUGAUAUUCCGUUGACUGUAUAUAAACUGUUGCGAAAUCCCUCUUCUCUCUGAGUCUUCUAAAUCAUGAAGAAGUGUGCACUUCGUGUGACUUUUUUUCUGUUAGAUUCAUAUCCCAAAUUUAGAACGAGGUUUGGACAAGUUGCAAAGCCGGUGAAGCUUCUGUAUUCCCGGUACGCUGCCCCCCCCUCCCGGCUCGAGCUGUCUGCUCGGGUAAGCCAGGUCUAGAACAAUAAACCCUUGUUUGGAACCUAGUACAGCAAGACCUCAUAUCGGAGCCCUAGUAGGAAUGUUUGCCUGCAUCAUGUGCAUUUAACUUUGGAGACUCAACACAGGGGUUGGGUCUGUCUAGGACAGGUGUACCCGAAAUGAAAAGACCAUCUUGAUGCAUCCUAUGUGCUACAUGUAGCAUUUCUUCAAGGUUAAAAGGGUCAUUUGGCGGACCAAUAUUAGUUGAGGGCAAAUGAAAAAAAAAAAGAAGAAAAAGAGAGGGUGAAGUGUGAAGAUGAAGCAAGUGGGGACCAGUUAUAAGUUUCUUUCACACUUUUUCAAGCAAAAAUUGAAAAUGAAAAAUUUAAAGAAAAAGAUUUUGCACUUUUUCAUCAUUUUCCGUAAAUUAGAAAAUCAAAAAAAAAGGAAAAAGAAAAUCCAAAAAAGAUUUUGCAUGUUUCAUCAUUUUUCAAGAAAAAGCAGCAAAAAAUAUGUUUUCUCUAAAUUAGUUGUUUUUUAAUUCUCGCCCGUAUCCAAUCGGCCCGAACUACGCAUACCUGAUUCUCGUCUUUCGGGGCAUGAUACGUAGGUAACCCACAUAGGGUCCGGUCUUCCUAGUAAAUCUUAGAUUCUUGGCUUUGCGGGGUCUUAGCCAAAUUUUGCACUUCUAACCACCUUUUGGCCAAAUAAGUCAUUUUGCGAAAAUAGCCUCAAUCAUGUCUUGCAUGUGUCUAGUAGGGAAUGUUAUUGUCUCACAUAGUGUUGGUUUAAGUUUUCUCAUACAGGUGUGGAUCCACUUACCGGAGUUUGAGCAUGACAUACCCCAGGACCACCACAUUCAGGAGUUGCUUAAGGAGAUUUUUAUAUUUUUAUAUUUGUUAUUUUUAUUUUAUUUUUAUGUUUUGAGUAUGUUUUUUAUGUCGUCUUUUACCUUCUAGUUUUGUACAGCAAUGUCGAGUUUUUUUUAUUGUACUUUUUAUUUUGUAUUUGAAAAGGUGUGG
rnacentral:lncRNA from 1 species